rnacentral:rRNA from 1 species
UACGAAGGGGGCUAGCGUUGCUCGGAAUCACUGGGCGUAAAGGGCGCGUAGGCGGCCGUUCAAGUCGGGGGUGAAAGCCUGUGGCUCAACCACAGAAUUGCCUUCGAUACUGUACGGCUCGAGACCGGAAGAGGUGAGUGGAACUGCGAGUGUAGAGGUGAAAUUCGUAGAUAUUCGCAAGAACACCAGUGGCGAAGGCGGCUCGCUGGUCCGGUUCUGACGCUGAGGCGCGAAAGCGUGGGGAGCAAACAGG